rnacentral:rRNA from 1 species
GCGGUAAUACAGAGGGUGCAAGCGUUAAUCGGAAUUACUGGGCGUAAAGCGAGCGUAGGUGGCUUGAUAAGUCAGAUGUGAAAUCCCCGGGCUUAACCUGGGAACUGCAUCUGAUACUGUUAAGCUAGAGUAGGUGAGAGGGAAGUAGAAUUCCAGGUGUAGCGGUGAAAUGCGUAGAGAUCUGGAGGAAUACCGAUGGCGAAGGCAGCUUCCUGGCAUCAUACUGACACUGAGGCUCGAAAGCGUGGGUAGCAAACAGGAUUAGAUACCCUGGUAGUCCACGCCGUAAACGAUGUCUACUAGUCGUUGGGGAACUUGAUUCCUUAGUGACGCAGCUAACGCAAUAAGUAGACCGCCUGGGGAGUACGGCCGCAAGGUUAAAACUCAAAUGAAUUGACGGGGGCCCGCACAAGCGGUGGAGCAUGUGGUUUAAUUCGAUGCAACGCGAAGAACCUUACCUGGUCUUGACAUAUCUAGAAUCCUGCAGAGAUGCGGGAGUGCCUUCGGGAAUUAGAAUACAGGUGCUGCAUGGCUGUCGUCAGCUCGUGUCGUGAGAUGUUGGGUUAAGUCCCGCAACGAGCGCAACCCUUGUCCUUAGUUACCAGCGGGUUAAGCCGGGAACUCUAAGGAUACUGCCAGUGACAAACUGGAGGAAGGCGGGGACGACGUCAAGUCAUCAUGGCCCUUACGACCAGGGCUACACACGUGCUACAAUGGUAGGUACAGAGGGCAGCUACACAGCGAUGUGAUGCGAAUCUCAAAAAGCCUAUCGUAGUCCAGAUUGGAGUCUGCAACUCGACUCCAUGAAGUAGGAAUCGCUAGUAAUCGCGGAUCAGAAUGCCGCGGUGAAUACGUUCCCGGGCCUUGUACACACCGCCCGUCACACCAUGGGAGUUGAUUGCACCAGAAG